GAUGAACGCUGGCGGCGUGCCUAAUACAUGCAAGUCGAGCGAACAGACGAGGAGCUUGCUCCUCUGACGUUAGCGGCGGACGGGUGAGUAACACGUGGAUAACCUACCUACAAGACUGGGAUAACUUCGGGAAACCGGAGCUAAUACCGGAUAAUAUAUUGAACCGCAUGGUUCAAUAGUGAAAGACGGUUUUGCUGUCACUUAUAGAUGGUUCCGCGCCGCAUUAGCUAGUUGGUAAGGUAACGGCUUACCAAGGCAACGAUGCGUAGCCGACCUGAGAGGGUGAUCGGCCACACUGGAACUGAGACACGGUCCAGACUCCUACGGGAGGCAGCAGUAGGGAAUCUUCCGCAAUGGGCGAAAGCCUGACGGAGCAACGCCGCGUGAGUGAUGAAGGUCUUCGGAUCGUAAAACUCUGUUAUUAGGGAAGAACAACUGUGUAAGUAACUAUGCACGUCUUGACGGUACCUAAUCAGAAAGCCACGGCUAACUACGUG
rnacentral:rRNA from 1 species